GCGACCUUCCCCAGCUCCGCCCUCCGCUACGGCUGCCGUCGGCGGCCUUCUAUCCAUGCUGGAGCUGCCCCCCGCCUGGAUCCGGCCUCGCACAGCCGCCUCGCCUGGAUUUGGUCCCGUCGCCGCCCCACUCUUGGGUCCGGCUGCCGUGCCAACCCCGCACCUGGGUCUGGCCGCCGCAGUGCACUCACCCCACUCCUAGGUCCGACAGUCGCGCCGCCCCCACGCCUAGGUCCAACCAUCAGCACCCCGUCCCCCUGGCACACGAGCGCCGACAUCUACCGCCAAUCCCCAAGCACACCGCCCAAAGGGCCCACGCCCCAUCCCCCGACAUUAUCCUGCCUCGCUGGCGCACCAUGGAUGUCUUCCUCUUCUGCCUAGAUCUUCUUCGUCCUUGGUGCUUGCGUGCACAUGACAGCCACAUGUGGUGUGAGGAGAAGCCAAGCUAAAAGAAGAACACACUUUCUUCACACGUGUGUGCACGCAAGACAGGCACAAAGAAGUUCGGAGCCGCCGACCCCAACAGCGAAACAACAGCUAUGAUCGAGGUGAUUCUUGUGUUAUAACAUAUAUAUGUUCUCAGCAAUCCAGUAGGCUGUUCUUUGCUCUGAACUCUGCAACGUGGCAUAAUACAGUAAUCCUGACCGCUCCUUCUGAAUAACGGAGUUGACUUAUCAGUAGAAAGUCUUGAACAAUAUGACCAUCUCUGCUUCUGAAAACGUUGUUAACUUCACUCCCUAUCCAUCUAGUUAGCACAAAGGUUUUUUGUGCUGCAAAAGCAAGGAUGGAGGCCUCGAAGGACCAUCAUUUUCUGUAGCUGGGAUGCAGAAGAGUACAGAUUGACAGGAUCAACUGAAUGGGUUGAAGAAAACAGGGAGAUGCUUUCCUCGAGGGGUGUUGCUUAUCUGAAUAUUGAUGUUUCAGAGUUCAAGACGCCGACAAUUCAUCUCAGACGGCUUAUGAUUCAUGGGUCAAAUCCAAUGCUUCUCCCAACAUUCAACGACUGGGCAAUGGAGGAUCAGACUAUGCAGCAUUCAUUCAACAUGUUGGCAUUCCAUCCACCAACUUGAUAUUUGGAGAAGGGCCAAGAUAUCCUGUUUACCACUCUUUAUACGAUGAUUUUGUAAGGGUGGAGAAGUUCGCGGACCCUGGGUUCUCUAGGCAUGUUGCAGGUGCAGCCCCGUAUUCAUUUUGUGUUGUGUGUUACUCCACCCGUUUAAAAAUAUAAGAUGUUCUAACCUUUGUCUGAACCGGAUGCAUACAGUCAUGUUUUAGUGUGUAUGUUCACUCAUUUCAGUUCGUAUGUAGUCCAUAUUGAAAUAUCUAAAA